rnacentral:rRNA from 1 species
GACGUAGGAGGCGAGCGUUAUCCGGAUUCACUGGGCGUAAAGCGCAUGUAGGCGGUUGGAUAAGUCCGUUGUUAAAGCCCCUGGCUCAACUGGGGGAGGUCAAUGGAGACUAUUCGACUUGAGGGCAACAGAGGCACAUGGAACUCCAGGUGUAGCGGUGAAAUGCUUAGAUAUCUGGAGGAACACCAGUGGCGAAGGCGGUGUUCUGGGCCUGUACUGACGCUGAUGCGCGAAAGCGUGGGGAGCGAACAGG